UGGGUCGGCUGGGCGGUCGCGUCGCGGGUAACCGCGCCGAGGAACGUCCGGGCUCCGUAGGGCAGGGCGGUGGGUAACACCCACCCGGAGCAAUCCGCGAGACAGUGCCACAGAGAGCAGACCGCCCGGGUUUCGGCCCGGGUAAGGGUGAAAGGGUGGUGUAAGAGACCACCGGGGUCGUGGUGACACGACCCGCAAGGUAAACCUCGUCCGGAGCAAGGCCAGACAGGGGAUGAUGACGCGGCUCGCCGAGUCCCCGGGUAGGCCGCUGGAGCGGCACGGCAACGUGUCGCCGAGAGAGAUGACCGUCCACGGGGCGAUAGCCCCCGGACAGAACCCGGCGUACAGGCCGGCCCAUUCG
rnacentral:RNase_P_RNA from 1 species